UACGAAGGGGGCUAGCGUUGUUCGGAUUUACUGGGCGUAAAGCGCACGUAGGCGGAUCGUUAAGUCGGGGGUGAAAUCCUGGAGCUCAACUCCAGAACUGCCUUUGAUACUGAGGAUCUUGAGCUCGGGAGAGGUGAGUGGAACUGCGAGUGUAGAGGUGAAAUUCGUAGAUAUUCGCAAGAACACCAGUGGCGAAGGCGGCUCACUGGCCCGAUACUGACGCUGAGGCACGAAAGCGUGGGGAGCAAACAGG
rnacentral:rRNA from 1 species